GCCAGCCCCUCGCUUCCCGUCGCUACCUCCCCAUUUCGCCGUCUCGCUGGCUCGCCCCUCGCCGCUCGCCGCUUGCCGUCCCCGCCUGCGCAGCCGCCCGCCGGACGCCCAGGACGCGCUCGGCCGACAGGCAGCAGCAAGCCAGCAACAAUCCUUGUCGAUUUGAGAUCCGCCACUGGCGUCAACCGUUAAGGGUAGGUCUGCGGCUGCGGAGCUCCCUUCUCAGUUACCAGCUUGGCCCCUGUCAUCCUCUCCCCCAGCCGAAUGGGUUGGUCAUAUGAGCAAGAGACAGAUCGAGGCCAGAAGAUUCUUCAGGAAUAGAGGUGUCGCAAAGGCCCCUACAAUCUUUACCUCUUUAUCUUUACCUAAUAAUAAAGCAAAUUGGGUUUCUUUCGUC